rnacentral:rRNA from 1 species
UGGGGAAUAUUGCACAAUGGGCGAAAGCCUGAUGCAGCAACGCCGCGUGAGUGAUGAAGGUUUUCGGAUCGUAAAACUCUGUCCUCAAGGAAGAUAAUGACGGUACUUGAGGAGGAAGCCCCGGCUAACUACGUGCCAGCAGCCGCGGUAAUACGUAGGGGGCUAGCGUUAUCCGGAUUUACUGGGCGUAAAGGGUGCGUAGGCGGUCUUUCAAGUCAGAAGUUAAAUUCUACGGCUCAACCGUAGCCAGCUUUUGAAACUGGAAGACUUGAGUGCAGGAGAGGAGAGUAGAAUUCCUAGUGUAGCGGUGAAAUGCGUAGAUAUUAGGAGGAAUACCAGUAGCGAAGGCGGCUCUCUGGACUGUAACUGACGCUGAGGCACGAAAGCGUGGGGAGCGAACAGGAUUAGAUACCCCGGUAGUCC